rnacentral:rRNA from 1 species
UACGUAGGGCGCAAGCGUUGUCCGGAAUUAUUGGGCGUAAAGCGCGUGUAGGCGGUCCGGUAAGUCCGCUGUGAAAGUCGGGGGCUCAACCCUCGAAUGCCGGUGGAUACUGUCGGGCUAGAGUGCGGAAGAGGCGAGUGGAAUUCCUGGUGUAGCGGUGAAAUGCGCAGAUAUCAGGAGGAAUACCGGUGGUGUAGACGGCUCUGUGGACCGCCACUGACGCUGAGACACGAAAGCGUGGGUAGCAAACAGG